rnacentral:rRNA from 1 species
UACAGAGGUCUCAAGCGUUGUUCGGAUUCAUUGGGCGUAAAGGGUGUGUAGGUGGCGCCGUAAGUCGGGUGUGAAAUUUCGGAGCUUAACUCCGAAACUGCAUUCGAUACUGCGGUGCUUGAGGACUGGAGAGGAGACUGGAAUUCAUGGUGUAGCAGUGAAAUGCGUAGAGAUCAUGAGGAAGACCAGUGGCGAAGGCGGGUCUCUGGACAGUUCCUGACACUGAGACACGAAGGCCAGGGGGAGCAAACGGGG